AGUUCAAUAAAUUCCUCCAAAUGCUACAAUAGAGUUAAAUGUUGAACUACUGGCCAUCAAACAGAGCCCAUUCGGGUUUGUUGUAAAAAUUGUUGAAGGCUAAUGAAAAUCAAUGUCUUCCUGCCGCUCGAAGGGUCGUCUAAUUUUUGUGAAUGAAAAUUUGAAGCUCAUAAAUGGUGGUUAAAAGGGUUGCUUCUCUUUUAUGCUCUUUAUGUAAAUAAACUGGCCACUUUGUUCCUAGGCUAGAUUUGCAUAAAAGAAAAAAAAAAGAUAUAUGUAACCUGCAUAGCAUAAGACAAAUAAGUUUUU